GCAAUAUCUCUUAAAGACAAAGUACACAGUUUAAGAAAUACAACAUUUCAUUCUAAAACUUGUAAUAUUUGCAUUUUCCCAUAACACCCUCUCCAUUAAACUGUGGGCAUUGUAGCGCAUUUCUUCCUUAAAUUAGUAAACCAAAGUUCUCCAACAGUCUUUAGUUUUUUUUGUGCUCCCAGCAUCUUUGAUCAUUGUUGUAACAGU